rnacentral:rRNA from 1 species
CAGCCGCCGCGGUAAUACGAAGGGGGCUAGCGUUGUUCGGAAUUACUGGGCGUAAAGCGCACGUAGGCGAAUAUUUAAGUCAGGGGUGAAAUCCCAGAGCUCAACUCUGGAACUGCCUUUGAUACUGGGUAUCUUGAGUAUGGAAGAGGUGAGUGGAAUUCCGAGUGUAGAGGUGAAAUUCGUAGAUAUUCGGAGGAACACCAGUGGCGAAGGCGGCUCACUGGUCCAUUACUGACGCUGAGGUGCGAAAGCGUGGGGAGCAAACAGGAUUAGAUACCCGCGUAGUCCCUGUCUCUUAUAC